GGUGAGUAACGCGUGGGAACGUACCUUUUGGUUCGGAACAACCCAGGUAAACUUGGGCUAAUACCGGAUAAGCCCUUACGGGGAAAGAUUAUCGCCGAAAGAUCGGCCCGCGUCUGAUUAGCUAGUUGGUGAGGUAAUGGCUCACCAAAGCGACGAUCAGUAGCUGGUCUGAGAGGAUGAUCAGCCUCACUGGGACUGAGACACGGACCAGACUCCUACGGGAGGCAGCAGUGGGGAAUAUUGGACAAUGGGCGCAAGCCUGAUCCAGACAUGCCGCGUGGGUGAUGAAGGCCCUAGGGUUGUAAAGCCCUUUCGGCGGGGAAGAUAAUGACAGGUACCCGCAGAAGAAGCCCCGGCUAACUUCGUGCCAGCAGCCGCGGUAAUACGAAGGGG
rnacentral:rRNA from 1 species